AGCUACUAUGCAAAAGAGCGGUUGUGAUAUGAAAGAAGUCUGUUUAUCUUGAACUAAAUGAUGUAUGGUCUGUUCUUAGAUUUCUCCGGUUGGUUUUUUUGUUUGGACAACUGAAAUCUGAACGAGCCAGUGGAGUUCCAGAAGCACGAGGGUCCCGCCGCCAUCUUUGUGACUCGGACUGAAGACUGGGACAACGCAGAGGGACUGAUGCUACUGGAGCUGGAUAUUUUGCUUGGAAACCAGAUAAGAGAAUUGAACAAGAGAAAAGGGUGGCCCCCAAUCCUUUAUUUUUUUGGUUAUUCCACAAACUACUUGUUCAUGAACAUUUUCAAACUGGACAAUUUAUGUGCACAUUGACUGAACUGACUGACUGAACUGUUAUAUUGAAAGACUUACUGAAAUUUGUAAUUUCUUUGUUGAAAUGAGCUUUAAAGCUACAGUGUAGAAAAACCUACCCUAAUUUUUUUGAAAUAUUUGAGUUAUUUUUAAGGGUGGACAAUUUAAGUUUUAUACCUUAAUUUUAUUAAGGUAAUUAUUCUUUUGUGGAGAAAGAAAAUAAACCUGAGUUGUUAAAACGUGAA